UUUAAAAGGUCCGGCGAGAAGAAUACUCGCGAACGACGUUCGAUGGCGUUCUCUUUACGCUUGCUCCUCGCCCUUCUCCUCUCUUGCAGUCUCCUCCUUCCGACCUCGCUGGCCGAUGAAACCUUCGACGUCCGCCGCCAUCUCUCCACCGUCACCAGAUAUGAGAUUGCAAGAGAGGCUAGUGAUGUGGAUGUUUCAUCCUCUGCUAUACCUGAUGGAUGUGAACCAGUCCACUUGAAUCUUGUGGCAAGGCAUGGAACCCGUUCGCCUACCAAGAAGCGAAUAAAAGAGUUGGACGGAUUGGCAAUUCGUUUGGAAGCCCUUGUCACUGAUGCUAAGCAAAUACUAGAAGAGGAUGCUUUGCAGAAAAUUCCAACCUGGUUAUGGGGAUGGCAAUCUCCAUGGAAAGGUCGAGGGAAAGGCGGAGAACUAAUUAGCAAGGGGGAAGUUGAACUGUAUCAGCUAGGAGUUCGCAUAAGAGACAGAUUUCCAACACUUUUUGGGGAAGAGUAUCAUCCUGAUACCUACCACAUAAGGGCAACCCAGGUCCCUCGAGCAUCAGCUAGUGCUGUGGCAUUUGGCAUGGGGAUGUUUUCUGGGAAAGGCAGUCUAGGACCUGGGCAACAUCGGGCCUUUUCUAUUGUCAGUGAGAGUCGAGCUAGCGAUUUGCAUCUACGGUUUUAUGAUACUUGCGAAACAUACAAGAAAUAUAGGAAAAAUAAGGAGCCUGAAGUUGAAAUGAUGAAGGAACCUGUUAUAGAUCAGAUUGUUUCUUCAUUGAUCAGUCGCUAUCAAUUAAAUUUUACAAAUCAGGAUGUUAAAUCCCUCUGGUUUCUCUGUAAGCAGGAAGCAUCUGUACUGGACAUAACUAAUCAAGCUUGCAGCCUUUUUAAUCCUUCAGAGGUUUCUUUACUUGAGUGGACAGAUGACUUGGAGGUAUUUAUGCUAAAGGGUUAUGGUGAAUCUGUUAAUUAUCGCAUGGGAUUACCGCUGCUUCAAGAUGUUGUUCAGUCAAUGGAGAAAACAAUCAAUUCUGAAGAAGAAAUGGCUUCUGGGUCUCCUGAGAAGGCAAGACUACGCUUUGCACAUGCAGAAACAGUUGUUCCUUUCACAUGUUUGCUUGGACUAUUUCUUGAAGAAUCUGAGUUUAAGCAAAUUCAGAGGGAGCAACCAUUAAGCCUUCCUCCAUUGCCACCCAGCAUAAGAAAUUGGAAGGGCAGUAUGAUAGCACCUUUUGCUGGGAACAAUAUGUUGGCCUUGUACAAGUGUUCAGGCAAUAAUUCUAAGAAUAUAGUGUCCUCUGGAGACCAAAGAGCUGAGUACUUUGUGCGAGUCUUCCACAAUGAAAUUGCUGUUCCUUUGCCUGGUUGUGGCCAGAAAGAUUUUUGUCAGUUUAAGGAUUUCAAGGAAAAAAUUGUCAAUCCUCAUCUGGUGCAUGAUUUCAAUUCUGUUUGCACCAUUAAGAUGAAGUUGCCAGAAUCGGAGUCCGAGCCGCAAAAGCCUUGUUCAUUCAUGUGCAAAUUGUCAAACUUACUAGGUAGAAAAACAACCAAACCAGUCAAUGAGUACCAGAAAAACGAAUUGUGACCUUUCUGGAUACUUAUGGAUCUUUGCAGGCAAGGGACUUUCAUCAUUCACUUGAUCGAAGGAGAUUUGGCUGCCCGCAAAGAGUGGAAGCACGUUGACCGCUGGCUAAAAUUCUGUUUUAACUCUAAUUUAGCUCUACGAAAACAAUUUCAUGUCUUGUACCAGCUGAGAAUAUACCGUUGAUCCAUCCCCACAAUGUGUUUGAUCCAACUCCACAUUUAUCUGGGAGCUGGUACAGCACUUUUGGCCUUGAUAUCUCAACUUGCACCCUUACAAUAACCUAGUUACUCUUGGACUAGUGUCUUGUUAUAUCCCGUCUAAAAGAACCAAUGUUAUCACCAUUAUAUUUUUAGUUUUGUCAAAUGAGAACCUGAUGAAUAUUUAUAUAAUCACAUUCGCAUGAUUCAAAUGUACUUCAACUGAUUGUGCUUUCAGUAAGCUUUUGUGACGGUGGUCAGACGUAAAAUUGUUUUCAAUUUUUAACAUUCA